CGACUUUGAAAACAUUUAAUUUACGUUCGAAUGGAUCAAAAACGACUUCUGAAAAAUUUUCCCCUUUCAACAACGAUGGCAGUGAUAAUGAUUGUUAUUCGUGUGAAGAUGAAGUAUUAAAUAAAGAAAAUUGAAGCGUGACUGUUAAUGCUAUUGCUGCGAUGAUUCCUAGAAAAGAAAUUUCACCCACAUGUGGAUUUUACUUGCCGGAAAAUGCCAUUGCAUAUGUCAAUACGUUGCUGCAAACUGAUAUCAACUUGGAUGCCGACGAAAAAUUGAAAAUUUUAAUCCGAGAAGUGUUGCUUGAAGUUUACGGACACACCAUUGUUAUCUAUUCAGCAAAAGGAAAACGGGGAGAAAAUCCUCCCAUAAAUCCAAUGUUAUGCAGAGGACUAUUUCCAAUAUUACUUGAUUCCUUAACUUUCCUAAACACAGUGGACAUGCCAAAUAACACCUAAUCUUUUUUAAAAAGAUUACAUCCAAUAUAUUAAUAAACUCGCUAAUAACAAGUGGAGAUGUCAGAAUAAAAUACGAAACCCAAAUUAAGGAAAGAAGGUAAUCAAUGAAAAGGAAAAGAACAAGGAAAUUGAGAGAGGCUAUGAAGGUUCAGCGAAUUUUGAAGUUCCAGAAGGAAAUAAUUAUAAUAUCAUAAAUACGAUAUUGGCACCUUCCAAUGCAGAUCCUCAUAAUUUGUCAAGAAAUGACUACUUAAACAAUGACUUUCAUCAUC